rnacentral:misc_RNA from 1 species
CAACCCUCAAGCAACAUCUGCUUGGUGUUGGGGACCGGCCGUCAAACGCCGCCCCCUAAAUCUAUUGGCGAUCUCGCUGUAGCUUCCUAUGCGUAGUAGUAACAUCUCGCAUGUGGAGAGCGGCGCGGUCAUGCCGUAAAACACCCAACUUUUUUCA